AAGGUAUCUCAGUCAUACGCUAUGUUACAGUAGAGGAAAGUCCGGGCUUCAUAGAGCAAGAGGGUAGCUAACGGCUACUAAAGGUAACUUUAAGGAAAGUGCCACAGAAAAGAAACCGCCAUUGUUAUGGUAAGGGUGAAAAGGUGGUGUAAGAGACCACCAGUUUUUUAGGGAACUAAAAAAGCUAGGUAAACCCCCUCUGAAGCAAGACUAAAUAGGAAAGGUUAAGGGUUGCUCGUCCAACUUUCAGGGUAAGUCGCUGGAGAUAAAAAGUAAUUUUUAUCCUAGAUAAAUGAUGACAUAUACAAAACCCGGCUUAUGAGAUGCCUUUUUU
rfam:Fusobacterium necrophorum subsp. funduliforme 1_1_36S genomic scaffold supercont1.5, whole genome shotgun sequence.